rnacentral:lncRNA from 1 species
AUAAUAACCAAGAAUUUGAGGUGGAAGAAGUCUUAGACUCAAGGUGGCACCAAAAUAGGUUGGAAUAUCUUGUUCAUUAGCGCAGUGUCAUAUUACGUGAAGUCUUGCUUGAGAAUGCACCAGGCACCUAGUUGUAGAAGGUAAAAGAAAAUUAUAACAAAAGCUCCUAACAAUCCAAUAGGAUUAUAGAGAAAUUACAAUUAAACAUUAAUAAUCAUAAUCAAACCUUAAGCAAGCUCAAUUAAAUUAUAUUGAAGUUAUAAAAAAAACACAAAGAAAUCUUAAAGAAAUAUAAAAGAAUAUUAAAGAAAACUUAGUCAAAUUCUAAUAAAAAUCUGAAUAAACCUUAAAUUCCAACCAAAUCCUAAUCCUAAUCUAACCUUAAUCAAAUCCUAGACAAAUCCUAAAUCCUAAACAUACCCUAGUCAAAUCUUAGAUAAAUCCUAACCCUAACAAAUCCUAAUGAAUUCCAAAUCCUAAACAAACCUUAGUCAAAUCCUAAAAAAAUCUUAGUCAAACCCUAGUCAAAUCCUAACUCUAAACCCUAACCAAAUCCUAAAUUCUAAAUCAAAUCCUAACCAAACCCUAAUCCUAAUCCUUAAUCAAAUUCUAAUCCAAAUCAAAUCCUAAUCACAGAUUUGAAAUUUAAAUAACUAAAGAUUGAACCGUUGAUUCUAAUUCAAAAUUUUCA